UCUCCUCUCCGCUCUCAAACCCUAGUCCUGUCUUCCGCCGAUUUCUACAUCGCUUCUCUCCAACCUUGCUGGUUGAAUCGAAGGCGAAUGCCGUGGACAAAAUUGAGCAUAUAAUCCACAGUUUCAUCGCUCGGCCGGAUUGGCUUACAGGAGUAUUUGUCGCAGAGUUGGUUCUAUCUUCACAACGCACAUGAUUUUAUGCAGUUUUAGUAAUAGAGAUGGAAUAAAGAUAAGGUGUUUUCAAUUUUAGUGAUGGGUCAUCUUGAUUUGGACAAACUAAAAAGGAAAGUCGGUCAUGUUACUUUGAAGACCAGAGAAAGAUCCUCUGCUGUGUUAAGAAACACCACAGGGAGUGCUGUGGUUAAAACGCAGAGGUAGAAAAAUUUUGGAGAGAGAGAUUGUAUUUCUCUUCCUCUGGUUACCCUAUUUCUUUGAUUAAUUAAUUUCUGAUGGGGCCAGGUCAUGUUUACAUUGAUACUUAUAUUAUGCACGGCCUUUUAAUUUA